rnacentral:rRNA from 1 species
AUUGAACGCUGGCGGCAUGCUACACAUGCAAGUCGAACGGUAACAGGGUGCUUGCACCGCUGACGAGUGGCGAACGGGUGAGUAAUGCGUCGGAACGUGCCGAGUAGUGGGGGAUAACGCAGCGAAAGUUGUGCUAAUACCGCAUACGUACUGAGGUAGAAAGUGGGGGACCUUCGGGCCUCACGCUAUUCGAGCGGCCGACGUCUGAUUAGCUAGUAGGUGAGGUAAAGGCUCACCUAGGCGACGAUCAGUAGCGGGUCUGAGAGGAUGAUCCGCCACACUGGGACUGAGACACGGCCCAGACUCCUACGGGAGGCAGCAGUGGGGAAUUUUGGACAAUGGGCGAAAGCCUGAUCCAGCCAUGCCGCGUGUCUGAAGAAGGCCUUCGGGUUGUAAAGGACUUUUGUCGGGGAGGAAAUCCCCAGCGUUAAUACCGCUGGGGGAUGACAGUACCUGAAGAAUAAGCACCGGCUAACUACGUGCCAGCAGCCGCGGUAAGAC